UCGCUGCUGUGAGGGGUGGAGCCUAUGCAGUCCGAGGUUUUAGUUGGUGAGACUCUAGGGUAGGCUUGGCUUCUCGGCCUCAGUGCUCAAGUAAGCAAACAGGAUUUGAAUUUGAAAACACAGAGCCUGGGCCCGGCGGAAGGUACCCCCAGCGGAUUCCGACCUACGGAAGCCCGGGAGGACCAAGCUUCCGGAGGCCGCCGAAUGUGUGCCGGGCAGGGGGUGGGAGGCUGUGCGGUGCCUCCUGGUUCCCUUUGAUCUCGGCGGACGGAGCCUCCCCUGGCUUCCCUGUGUCCAAACUUCGUAGUCUCCGGCUUCUUCCCUGCUCCAGGAAUCGCCCAGCUAGACUUGAAAGGGUCCAAGGCAGCCGCAGGAGGACCCUGUACCUGCUGCCGAGCCUCGGGCCUGGCCCCGUCCUCUGGGAUGGAUGGGCUUGUGCGGGAGAUAAACCUCUCCGCACCUGUCUCCUCUUUGGCACCGCGGGGGUUACACCUGCCCAUCCCUGGAUCUGUAGUGAGGUUUAAGUGGGAAGCACCCGCAUGUGGUGCAUGUUAACCCCCGUCUUCUGAGUCUGGAGAGCUAUAACCCCGCCAGGAACAUGGGAGACAAGUUUGUUCUGGCCCAGAAAACUGCGUUUUCCCCUCACUCUUGCUCACCGACCGAAAAAGACUGUGUCCCUAACUCACGAUUUUUCUCUGUCAGUAGUCCCGUGAAUUACGGUCCUUCCCCUGCCCUACGUGUCACGUGUUGAGAAGUUUGGGGCUCAAUCAUUGAAACGUUUACUGAGCACCUACUGUUCGCAGCAAACUGUUAAGACACCAUGCUCCACACUGGAGAUAAAUAUGAGUAAGACAUGACGUUGCACUGGAGGAGCCCCUGGACCAAAAGAUGACCCCAGAGACCUACCACCGCCUAGUUUAGGGCUUAUAAAUGUAGAGAAGAGUUUUGUUAAUUCAGUCAACAUUUUCCGAGCCGCUGUACCUGCUAAAGUGCCGAGGACAGAGACUCCUCAAGAACCAGGGUUCAUCAGCUCAAAGCCACCUGGGGUCUUUGCCCUCCCCUCUUCUCUCUCUUCAAACAGGGGGUUUGAAGCCUUGUCAACAGGAAGUGAAUCUCCGUAUCACAUACAGUCUUCUGUUGAUUGUCUCCUUGCAAAAAGUUUAUUUAUUUUUGAGAGAGAGAGAGACAGACAGAGUGCGAGCGGCAGAGGGGCAGCGAGAGAGGGAGACACGGAAUCCGAAGCAGGCUCCAGGCUCUGAGCCGACAGCACAGAGCCCGAUGCGGGGCCCGAACCCACAAACCGUGAGAUCAUGACAUGGGCUGAAGUCGGACACUCAACGGACUGAGCCAUCCAGGUGCCCCCAAAUCUCAUUUUUAGAAAAACGAAUGCCGUUUAAGUGGUUUUGUGUUACCUGCAGCCCUGACAGCAGACUGGAACAGCUGUGUUCUCCCAUCAGGCCACGUGCUGCCCCACUGGCCCAGUGAUGGUGAGCACGUCCAGGAAUGAGCUCAUGCACAAGGGAAGUCAGUGUGAGUCUGACAGCGCUGUGCCGCCCCAGCAGAAGGGAAGCCGCCCGAGAACCUCUAAGGACACAGGCAGUGUGCUGUGUUGUGGGAUAGGGCGUUGGGGAGAACGGUGCAGAAGCCUCCUCGGUGCCAGUGUGUCAGGCAGCAGGGAGGUGUUCGUCUUGAACAAAAGAUCGGGACAGGGAAAAGGACCGUUCCUCAAGCUAGAAAGAAAAGGGGCGGGGGCCGGGGGCCGGUACUGGCCUAGAGUGGGAACCCUGGGAGGUUGGCAUCCUAUGAAAGCGUCCCCAAGCCCUCCUGACAUUUCCCGAUGUGUAGCAGUUUGGGAGGCAUGUUUGGAUCCGUUGUUCUGUGCAAGAAAAAUCUCUUGUAUUAAUUGCUCACAUUUAAAUUGAGACUCAUUGGUGGGGGGCACCUGGGGGGCUCAGUCGGUUAGGUGUCCGACUUCGGCUCAGGUCGUGAUCUCGUGGUUUGUGGGUUCGAGCCCUGCGUCGGGCUCACCGCUGACAGCUCAGAGCCUGGAGCCUGUUUCAGAUUCUGUGUCUCCUUCUCUCUCUGCCCCUCCCCACUCAUUCUCUCUCUGUCUCUCGCUCGCUCGCUCUUUCUCAACAGUAAAUAAAUAGAAAAAAAAAUUUUUUUUUAAAUUGAGACCCACUAUCAGGCUUGCUCACCUAGAGAGCUGAGGUGCGUCCUGACUGACUACCUCCCAGAUGCCCAGAGUCCUCUAGGCUGUUAACACCAGUCUCGUCAUUGACGUGAUCUGAAUCAUGCAGUGCCUAGAAUUGGCCUGUUAAUGGUGUGCAUGUAAUCUAAUAAAACAAACUCAUUUUUUUUUCCUUUU